GAGCAAGACUGUCUCUAAAAAAUAAUAAUAAUAAUAAAAAAAGGGGAGGCAAGAUGUGCUCCCCGUGGGUCAAGAGUACCCCAGACACAUCUUUCGGGAAGGGCGCCAGGUUUGUUGCUCUAUUUGGCCCUGGUCAGACUCAUCUGGAGUGUUGUAUUCAGCACUCAGCAUUGCAAUUUCUAGUGGUCAUAGAGUCACUCUGUACUUUCCCGUAAAGCACAUGGGAGCUCUUUGGCCAAGUUUCAGCUCCACUGAAGCCAGUGAUGAGACCAUGGACAAAACGCCUCAUCUCCCCAAGCCCAUUUCUUCAUUUGUAAAAGAAUCCAGUAGUCGUUCAGGAUGGUUAUGAAGACCCAGUCACAUUGGAUGUGAUGUGUAUAAAGGUGCUUUAUGUGGUGGUGUGUUUUAUUUGUUUCAUAUUUCAGAAGACGGGAAGGUAGGUCUCACAACCAUGGCUGGUUUGGGGGCAUGAACAUGAACCUUCACUCAGGAAAAGAGAAGUCUAGGGAAACAUGGUAGCUGCCUCCAGUAGAACCGCAGUUUAAAACAGAUCUUCAGAGGCUUCCAGGGCGAGGGGAAGCCAUGCAGGGCUCCUCCCCACCUCCCCACUUCUGCUCAUUGCUCUGCACUUGUCCAGAGACAAGAGAGGUGGACUAAAGUCUAUGCGAGGAAGUUACUUACACCCUCCUAGGUCCAAAAGCUGCCCCCUGCCUCUGGAGUGUUAGAGCAGAAAGUGGGCAGGCAUGGGCAGGGCCAUUGCUGCGGGAAGUUUAGAGGCACCAGAGGACAGUUCUUCCAACUUAGAUGGUUUUUGUGAAGUGAAAGCAAACUGCAGGCCCCCAACACUGGCGCAGACUCUCAUGGGUGCAGUCCUCUAACACUGGCACGGACUUAGCAGAUGAGAAAGAUGGGUCUCCUUACAAAUACUGGUCGCUAGUGAGUUGGGUCUUGAGAGACAGAGAAAACAGGUAUCUGCCUGAGGUGUGUCUGGUUAACUAUGUUGGCCCUUGAGGUAAUCUACAGUGUAAGGAGUUUUAGUUCAUCUAACAUUGUAAGAAAUCAUUCUCAUGUUUGAGUGUCAUGUUUGUAGUACCAAUUUUGGGGGCCAGGGAGGGAAGAUUGCCCUGAGCAAAGCUGCCCAUUUUCUCAUCUGGUCGGUUUUCAUGGAGCGGCCCACCUGCUCCCCACCUCGGGAGAUACUGGAGGAGUCUAGCCCUGCGGUGGGCUGUGGUCAGGCCAAGGGUAGGCCAGGUUUCCUUCCUAGGCUUCAGUUCAUUCUCCCAUCUUGCUGCCAAGGUAGCUUUAGAUGUUUUGGUCCCCUAAAGCAUUUAAACAGACUGACGUGUACAAUGCCGUCUGAACAAAGUCUGCCAUGAACGUACUGCACAGUGUGUACCUGAACCUUCCGAGAGAAAUAGUAAAAUCACCACAUCAUCAAGUUGCAGCUCGGGAAUUACGUAACUUUACUGGUGACGUUUGCAGGAAAAGGUUUCAGAGAAAUUUGAAAAUUGGCAAGUGUACUUUCUUGACCUUUCCAAAAAUAGUCUGAGUCACGUUCACUUUCAGCCUCCAAACUGUGUUGAAUGAAACCUUUGUGCAGUUUACAGAAAGUGAAGAACUGUUUGGCAAGAGAGAGAAGUUCGAGCUCCUAAUAGCCUCGGCUGCAUUGGGGGUGGAGCUGAAUAACGGUGAGCGGAACUCACAGCAGCAGAGCCUGAGAGGCCAUCUAGCCCUUAUAGAUUAGCUGAGCAGUGAUCAAACAGCUCCAUGGGACGAGGAGGAGCCGGGCUCACCUCAUGGAGUAAGGCCGAGACCCCAAUGGCCCUGGAGGUGAUGUGGUGGCAGCUGGGGCAGAAGCAGCUGGAGACCUCCACAAACAAGGGGUGCAGGUCCCUGGAGUCAGGAGAGUCUGAGUGUAUCUGACUAUGGAAAUGAUGUUAGACAAAAAGCAAAUUCGAGUGAUUUUCUUAUCUGAGUCCAAAAUGGGUCAUAAAGCAGCAGAGACAACUCACAACAUCAACAACACAUUUGGCUCAGGAGCUGCUAAUGAAUGUACAGUGCAGUAGUGGUUCAAAAAGUUUUGCAAAGGAGAUGAGAGUCUUGAAGAUGAGGAGCAUAGUGGCCAGUCAGUGGACGUUGACUAUGGCCAAUUGAGAGCAACCAUCAAAGCUGAUCCUCCUACAGCUACAUGAGAAGUUGCCGAAGAACUCAACAUCAACCAUCCUACCGUUGCUCAGCAUUAGCAGCAAAUUGGAAGCGACAAAGCUCGAUAAGCGAAAAUUUAAAAAAAAUCAUUGUUUUAAAGUGUUGUCUCCUCUUAUUCUAUGCAACAAUGAACCAUUUUUUGAUUGGAUUGUGACAUGCAAUGAAAAAUGGAUUUUACACAAUGACCAGCAAUGACCAGCUCUGUGGUUGGACCAAGAAGAAGUUCCAAAGCACUUCCCAAAGCCAAACUUGUACCCAAAAAAGGUCAUGGUCACGGUUUGGUGGUAGGCUGCCAGUCUGAUCCACUCCAGCUUUCUGAAUCCUGGUGAAGCCAUUAGAUCUGGGAAGUCUGCUCAGCAAGUUGAUGAGAUGCACCAAAAACUGUAACAUCUGCAGCUGGCAUUGGUCAACAGAAAGAGCCCAAUUCUCCAUGGCAAUGCCUGACCACACAUUGCACAACCAACCCUUCAAAAGUUGAACAAAUUGGGCUACAAAGUUUUGCUUCAUCUGCCAUAUUUACCUGACCUCUUACCAACUGAACUACCACUUCUUCAAGCAUCUUAACAACUUUUUUGCAGGGAAAAUGCUUCCACAACCGGCAGGAUGCAGAAAAUGCUUUCCAAGAGCUCUUUGAAUCCCAAAGCACAGAUUUGUAUGCUACAGGAAUGAACAAACUUAUUUCUCAUUGGCAAAAAUGUGUUGAUUGUAAUGGAUCCUCUUCUGAUUAAUAAAGAUUUGUUUGAGCCUA